rnacentral:piRNA from 1 species
UUCCGCUCAUAAAAUCUGUACAACAA